CCUACGGGAGGCAGCAGUGAGGAAUCUUGCGCAAUGGGGGCAACCCUGACGCAGCAACGCCGCGUGAGUGAUGAAGGCCUUCGGGUCGUAAAGCUCUGUCAGAUGGGAAGAAGGUUCCGUUUCUGAGUAAGAAACGGAAUUGACGGUACCGUCGAAGGAAGCACCGGCUAACUCCGUGCCAGCAGCCGCGGUAAUACGGAGGGUGCAAGCGUUGUUCGGAUUUAUUGGGCGUAAAGAGCGUGUAGGCGGCCGGGUAAGUCAGAGGUGAAAUCCCUUGGCUUAACCAAGGAAGGGCAUUUGAAACUGUCUGGCUUGAGUACGGGAGGGGGAAGUGAAAUUCCCGGUGGAGCGGUGAAAUGCGUAGAUAUCGGGAGGAACACCAGAGGCGAAGGCGGCUCUCUA
rnacentral:rRNA from 1 species